rnacentral:rRNA from 1 species
AACGAACGCUGGCGGCAGGCCUAACACAUGCAAGUCGAACGCCCUAGCAAUAGGGAGUGGCGCACGGGUGCGUAACGCGUGGGAAUAUGCCCUUCACUGCGGAAUAACGUUUGGAAACGAACGCUAAUACCACAUAAUGACUCCGGUCCAAAGAUUUAUCGGUGAAGGAUUAGCCCGCGUUAGAUUAGCUAGUUGGUGAGGUAAUGGCUCACCAAGGCGACGAUCUAUAGCUGGUCUGAGAGGAUGAUCAGCCACACUGGGACUGAGACACGGCCCAGACUCCUACGGGAGGCAGCAGUGAGGAAUAUUGGACAAUGGGCGCAAGCCUGAUCCAGCCAUGCCGCGUGAGUGAAGAAGGCCUUCGGUUGUAAGCUCUUUCAGAUGUGAAGAUAAUGACGGUAGCAUCAGAAGAAGCCCCGGCUAAAUUACGUGCCAGCAGCCGCGGUAAU